AUUGAACGCUGGCGGCAGGCCUAACACAUGCAAGUCGAGCGGUAGCAGGACCAGCUUGCUGGUUGCUGACGAGCGGCGGACGGGUGAGUAACGCGUAGGAAUCUACCCGGUAGUUGGGGAUAGCCCGGAGAAAUCCGGAUUAAUACCGAAUAAUCUCUGAGGAGGAAAGGGGGCUUCGGCUCUCGCUACUGGAUGAGCCUGCGUGAGAUUAGCUAGUUGGUGGGGUAAAGGCUCACCAAGGCGACGAUCUCUAGCUGGUCUGAGAGGAUGAUCAGCCACACUGGGGACUGAGACACGGCCCAGACUCCUACGGGAGGCAGCAGUGGGGAAUAUUGGACAAUGGGGGCAACCCUGAUCCAGCCAUGCCGCGUGUGUGAAGAAGGCUUUCGGGUUGUAAAGCACUUUCAGACAGGAGGAAGGGUUGAUGGUUAAUACCCAUCAACAUUGACGUUACUGUCAGAAGAAGCACCGGCUAACUCCGUGCCAGCAGCCGCGGUAAUACGGAGGGUGCGAGC
rnacentral:rRNA from 1 species